GUAUGCUCAAAAUCAUAGGGAAACAGAACGCUGUUGACAUCAUUUACUGGAAAACCAAGCGAACACCUUUCUAACCCUAUCCAGUGGCCAAGCCCGAUAGGUAAAAGGAUCACACUUAUCUUAUGCAUUUGUCAAGUAACAGCAAUCUUUAUUAAUACAUCCACAACGUUCUUGUCUCAGAUCCAACCAUUCACUACAUCAAUGUACUGUCCACUAGCGAAAAUCACAGACGAUCCACAUUUUUCUUAACUGUAACCCAG